rnacentral:lncRNA from 1 species
AUGGAUGCUCGUAACCUUGGGGAAGGAGAGCGCGCACCAUUGUCUGCUUUUCCUGCCUUGGGAUUCCUGUGCGCGCCCCCUCCCCGGCCGGGGCCGCACAGAAUAAAAAAUAUCAUUAAAAAAAGGACUCAAAUCGCGGUUUUGGGUGGUUUCAGUGCCUGUCCAGCCGGGAUUCAAUGGGGGCGGCCGCUCAGCUGCGGCCCCGAGCCCCGCGGAAGCGCUGACGCGCGGAACGAGCCGUCCCAGCGCGCUUUAAUUUCCUUUAUUUUCGCCGACGAGAACAGCGAAUGCCAGCUCGGUGCGCGGCGCCCAGCCCGAGGCGCUGGGAUAAAUCAGAUCCCGAGCGGAACGGCAUUCGGGGGGUGGAAAAAAAUAAAAAUAAUAAUAAAUAAAAAAAAAAGAUGCCUGGAACUAUUAGGGAUCAAUGAGACAUUUGUCUUACUUUUCUUUUUUUUUUUGGUGGAGGGAGUGAGGAGGGGGCGAGGGUCACGGGGGGAGGGGAGGGAGGGAAUUAUGGACAAGUCUGCAGAAAAAGUAGCUGCGAGCCGAGGAAAUGGUGCGAAGGAGGGAAAUUUAGACGGGAUCGAUAAAGGGAUAAAUAGAAAACUCCCUUCGCUUUCCUCCGGCAGAGAGAGACCGAGAGAGCCUCGCUGCUUGGGCAGCAGCGUGCUCGCAACCCCCUCCCCUUUUCCAUGGAUUUUCUUUUUUUUUUUUUUUUUCCAUUUUUUUUUUUCCCCCCCUCUCUCCGAGCUGAAAACUGAUUACAGGUUGCUUAUCGACUCCGGCACGAUUUCGCCCCUCGCAGCAGGGCUGGCGCGGGGUUUUAUACGGCAUCAAUUAUUUAUCAUAUUUUAUAAAUCCGGCCGCGCAGUCCCGUGCCCCCGAGGAGGGGGCGGGCGCCGAUUGGCGCCGCGGCGGCCACGUGCCCGCGCGUCACCGGGGCCGGGAGGAAAAAGGCUCCUUUUUGGUGUAAAUCUGGACUCUAAUUCCGUAAUAUAUCACGGUACCUCGUAA